UAGCGGUUUUUGUGUGUCGGUAUUCGCGCCUGAAGCCUUUAAGUAGGCGAGUGUCUGCCGCCUAAGAGAAUCCUCCAGCCUUAUUUGUAGCUUGUAAGAGUGGGCUGCGCAAAGUUUAAGUAGCGGUUAUUUGGGU
rnacentral:ncRNA from 1 species